GGGAAUCUUGCGCAAUGGGCGAAAGCCUGACGCAGCCAUGCCGCGUGGAUGAUGAAGGUCUUAGGAUUGUAAAAUCCUUUCAGCGGGGACGAUAAUGACGGUACCCGCAGAAGAAGCCCCGGCUAACUUCGUGCCAGCAGCCGCGGUAAUACGAAGGGGGCUAGCGUUGCUCGGAAUUACUGGGCGUAAAGGGAGCGUAGGCGGGUCGUUAAGUUGGGGGUGAAAUCCCGGGGCUCAACCUCGGAACUGCCUUCGAUACUGGCGACCUUGAGUAUGGGAGAGGUGAGUGGAACUCCGAGUGUAGAGGUGAAAUUCGUAGAUAUUCGGAAGAACACCAGUGGCGAAGGCGACUCACUGGCCCAUUACUGACGCUGAGGCUCGAAAGCGUGGGGAGCAAA
rnacentral:rRNA from 1 species